rnacentral:misc_RNA from 1 species
CUCAGGUGGCGCUAUGGUUGGAGAACCGUGGCUGAACCGGUGUAACCCGGGAGCUGAAAAAUGGCGCCCGAUGGCCAUCUCGAACCCAUCGACCCGAUUGCGCAUGGCAAGGUCCAUGCCUCACUGGGUACUGGCGCAGCAGCAGAAGGAAGCGGAACAGCAGCAACGACGACCACCGACCCCACCGAAGAUCCCGCCACCGUCGCUCUCCGGGGACUGUGGUGACCCGGACUACGAAAUCAUCGAAUUUCCGACCCGACCGCAACCUCUAAAAUCCUCGACAGCCAUCAGCAAGUGUGCCCUAUGCGGCACGGAGAACGUGUUCGCCCGUUGCGACACCUGCAACGGCAACUAUUGCGAGGCCUGCGACGACAUGAACCACAAGCACCCCAAGAGAAAGGGCCACGUACGAAGAAGAAUCCUGACGGAUUUCGCGAUGAAGACGCGACCACCUUUGCCACCGAAAGGAGAGAACCUGUCGAGUCCACCGCCGAUCCCUCCGCCCAGACGAAACCGCAAGAACGCUCAGGCUAAAUCGACGCAAAACCAGGGAUCCACGAAUCUCUCCUUGAUCGAGAGAGUCGGCAGUUUGAAGCGAAAUCUACCGAAUACCGCCAGGCCGCUCUCUGCCACCCUAGACUCGAAAAUGGUCUCGAAAUCCAUGCACUCCGUCAACUCACCCCCUACUGACGGAUCCGCGUCCGGAACAGGCACUGACAAGAUGUCCACCCUUCAGGAGAGAUACAGAAAAUACCAAGAAGCAAUGAGGGCACAGGAUGCGAAUAGAAGAAGACACGCUUCCUCUGACGUUUCGAGAGACACAUUAAACACAAGGCCAGUGAGCUUAGGCAGCCCGAAACUGGCGCCUCCGGUUCCACCUCCGCCCCCGCCUAGAUCUAUGAUGCAGUCCACCAGCGUUUGCGAUUUAUCGUCGCCUCAUAUGUGGAAUCCUGGAAUGCAUCAGACCCAAUCGAUGGCACAUCUCGGCCCAGGAGGAGUGCCCAUGAUGUGGUACCCACCAAAUGCCCCAUGGGAUAUGUCCAUGGGUGGUUCCACGAUGAGUCUGAACCAAGCAAUGCCAUGGGGCUACCCCAUGGGAUAUCCCCCGUCGCAAAUGCUUCCACCAUACUAUCCAACCUCCCUAUCGAGACCUCACAGCCCCGCCAGAAGCGUAAAAUCCACCAGAAGAUCGAGAGCAGUUUCACCGUCGCCCAGUAUAAAAUCCAGAAAAUCGCUGGCCUCCAGAUCGCGAUCCAGAAGAUCCCAGGGAUCACCCUCCGACGCUAGCUCGGAGGAUUCGGGAGAAUCGGAUUUCGAUGACAGACUUUCGCGGAGCUCCAGAAGUAGACGCGGAAGCGUGUCCAGGAGUGUCAGACAGAGAAGCUACCAUGAAGACGAAGGCGGUAGAGGCUUGUUACCUAGAAAUCGUCGCGAACGACUAAUGUCGGAAGAGAGGAUGACGAGCACGGAGGAUCAGUGGUCCGAGAGUCACCCGACUAAACGGUACCCGCCAUCGUCGCGAGGUUACGACGACUUCCAGAAGAGCACGCUGAAUUCUCGACGACGAUACGACCAGGACGAACGCAGGCUCUCGAAACCUGAUUUGCGAUUGGAUCGCGUUCAAAACGGCAAUUAUCGUCGAAGACGAAGCACCGACGAAGAGUCGUCGGACCGUCGAGGCACGUUACCGGCUCGAUCCAGAGUGACUAGUUCCUCGGACGACCACUUCGACAAGGCAGAAGUAUCUGCUCGAAGAAAAGAAGACGACAUCCCCGCGAAAAGAGCUUCGUCCGUGCGCAGAGACGCGCGUUUGGACGACUUUGAGAGAUCGUCUCGUCGGGAUUCUCGAAGAUCCUCCAUCGACAGCGACGCUCAGAUCAGGAAGACUCCUGCGAGAGAGGUGUCGGCCAGGAGAAACCAAGAAACGGAAACUAACGAGGUCGUGACUCGUCCUGCGUCCAGAAAUCAACCGAGUCGAGAUCCCUCCCGCGAUCGAGAACCCCCGAAGAGAGAGCCCUCCUUGAGGAGAGACACCCCCGUCGACGAAGUAGAAAGAUCUCCCGCUAGACGAAGCUCGGGUAGAUCGUCCUUCGAUUCCGAUAAUCAGAGCAGCAGAAAAACACCCUCUCGCGAGUCUGUUCCUAGAAAAGCCCGCGAAGACGAUCGACCAGUGUCGAGACCCGCCAGCAGAGCUCAGGAAGAGACCAGAGGAGAGGAAGAAAGUUCAGCGAAGAAGGUCAACGAGAUCAAACAACAGGAGAAAACCGUCCCUUCGCGGAGGGAAGAAAAACGCGAAGAGGAUCGUUCGAGGACCAAGAAUACCAGCGAGAGGACCACGAUGGAGAUCCCAGAAGAAGAAUGGGCUUGCGAGCAUUGUACUUUCAUAAACAACGUGAAGGACCGUGUUUGCGUGGUUUGCUGCAAGACCAAGAGCAGUGCGCUGCCUCCGAGCAAUCCAGAAAACUCGGAAGAUGUCCCGAGCGUUUUGAGCGAAGUUCCCAAAAGCGAAUCGGCGGCCAGCAAUCCUAGCAACCCUAGUCCAGAUCUGGAGAAACGAACGAGCUUGCUAAAAAUUUCGAACAGCGAAGAAAGCGGGGACAGUGGAUCCGCAAAGAACAAAGAUACGCAAGAAAAUUCGCUCGGUGAAUCUCCGAUAACGCAAAAUGCUACAGUAACGACAAAAAGUGUGUCAGCGUCUACUGACAACACCGACGCAUCGAAUAACACAAAAGUAAGCGUCGAAGAUCCAACAAAACGACCGAUGCUCGGAAAAAUUGCAAAGAGCCAUUCGGUUUCCACCGGAACCUCCCCACCGCCGCAGAGCAUUUCCACUCAAACGUACGACUACCUCCCAGUCAGAGGAAGCGCAGGUUUCGUAAGAGCUGCAUCCACCUCGAAGGGAUUAUUGUAUUAUGAGGACAGCGACGCAGAGGAACGAUCCGGAGCGUCUGUUCCAGGAGCAAAGCAGGUUCGUAAACAGCCCAGAACUGUACCCGCACACGAUCCAAGAGCAAUAUCUUCAGCAACUGAUCGGCGGGCCGAGCAGGGACCGUACGCGACGAAACUCCAUCGACUCCACCCACCUUUAUUACCGUUCCAGGAAGGUACAUCUUACGACGAUCGAAUCCUUCUUGUUCGUCGACCCUGCAUCACAUUUUACAUUGAAUCCAGCCAGCCAAGAUUCCUAGAUGCUGGUCCCAGUUCCCAAGGCGUUUCAACUUUGACUCGUCAGGGUCUGGAGAUCGUGGAGCUGCUACGAGACGCUGAAAGACUCGGUUACUCCACGGACGACGUGCAAGUGGCCUUGUCACAGGGCUCUAGCAACCCUAUCGACUGGCUGAAGACGCAGUGGCCUCAUCUGGUGGAAACUGUACAAGUUCUGGUAACCACUCAAGGAAAGGAGCUGAAGGAGAACAAUAUCGGAGUGCUUUCAGCGACCGAGGCCAAAGAAGCAUUGAGAUUGACGAAGGGAGAUGUUUGGAACGCUGUCGCCAUGGCGAUUCAGCGGAGACAGCUAAAGUACGAGGAAAUCAUGAAAAAGGGCAACUUCACGACGGCGGAGGUGGUGAAGGCGUUGGAGAAUAAUGCCGGCGCCGAGGACGCGGCUUUGUUCGAGCUGCAAAAGAAUCAGUUGAAACCGUUCUUGAUGAGGAUUUGGGGUCCUCCGGUCGGGGUGGAAAACGACGAGGCUGCACCGCGGGAAGAUGCGGCAGGUGCGGUCGGUGGAGAGGGUGUUUCCGAACAGGUUACCAACGUGUCGGACUCGGAAGCCAGGAAGCAGGUAAUAUCACCAAUCGUUGAAAAUUUCGUCGCGUUGCAGGCCGACUUUCAAAAGCAACUGGCAGCCCUCAGACAAAUGACCGAUAACUGGCAACUUGACAAAGACCCCCUUAACACGCUCGGUAAUAAGCCUGAUAAUCUGUAUCGAAAUAACGCUGACGAUCGAACCGUUCUAAUCGAUAAAAAUCUGGUCCCAAGGGCCGUACAAGACCUCGAAGUAGCCAACACUGCUCGCGUUAAGACAUUGGAGAACGAAAGGAUGUUCGUCGAAAACGAUAUCAAAGCGCCGAUAGUUAACGAUGAUACCGUAGUUGAGAACACCAUCAAAGACUGUAUUCGAAAUAAUAAUUCUAUGACAAAUUUGAUCGAGAAAGAGAAACUGAGGCUGUCGGAAAAUUUGUUGAAACAGGAUUCGAAUAUCGUGAAAGAGAUUUCUGACAAGGAUAAUCGAUCAACGAAAGAUGAGGCUAAACAGACUGAUGUACCCACUGUAACUAAGGAUACUACAAUUGACAAUUCCAUAAAAAGUUCGGGAAAAGAAGAAAGUGCAGAACCCUCAGAAAAUUUGAAAACAAUCUCAACUUCCAAAGAUGACAAAGUAGAAAAAACAAAUACGUCUAAAGGGAGUAGUCAAAAUGCUUCUACGAACACUAUCGAAAAGACCUCGGGUGCGACAGAAGAGUUAUUGCAAGAAAAUCUGAGGAGCAAAACAGCGGAGGUAUUAUCGAUUCUCAAGAAAGACUCGAAGCAAACAAGGAACAUCGAUCGCGGUGAAAAUUCAGGAGAAAAAACCGUCUCCAAUGUCGAAAAAGAUAAGUCGAAGACAGUCGAUGCUGUAUCGAAAUCAGAUCUAGAUGAAACGGUAGAAAGCGUGAACGUAGAAGUGUAUCAAGGAAAAGACAAAGAAUCGCGCGUUACGUCCCAAAAGAGUUCUGAUCCUUCGGAAAGCAGCGCGCUAGCGGAUAAAGCUGCAUCUUCACGCUCGAACAAAGACGAAACGUCCCAAAAGGUUUCAGAUCCUCGACAAAGGACAGUGGACGAAGAUAAAGAUCCUUCAUCGAGUAUUCUUUCGCGAUCCGACGCGCAUGUGGCAGAAAAUUCGUUACGAUCCGAGGGGGCUAAUUUAACAAACCAGAAGAUGGAACAAGAGUCUCCGAAGGUCCCGAUAAAACCAAUUAGCGCUUCUGGUUCGUCCGAUGUGACGAAGUUGGAGCAGAGUGGAAAGAUUAUGCAGGGACAGACAGUUUUGACGAAGGAAAUUAAUGCAAAUGAAUCGAAGGACGAGAAAUUGAAGGAGAACAAGGACCAAGUUUCCGUGGAACCAGUUACUUCAGAAACAUCAGCUGUUGAGAAGAUUGGCGGAUCAGAGACCGAACCGAGUAAAAUAAAUUCGAAAGAGAUACCAGGUUCAGGGGCAACCAAUGAAGCAUCGAUGGUUGAAAACGAUGCUGUAACGCGAUCGAAUACCAAAAAUGAGAACAGCAACGAAACGCAAGUGGCCUCCGUGGAAGCUCUGAUAUCGGCAGUGAAAUCGUUGCCGGAACAAUUGCUGGGUCCCUUCAUAUCGGCAAUGCAGAUGCUGUCUCCGAGAAGAUCGAACCCCGAAGUUGAAAUUUCCGACGAAACGGCGGGAGGCAACAUAGAGGGGAAAGCAGAUAACAACUCGGAAGCCCGGAGAAAAGUUGCGACGGAAGAGAAGAAAGGAGACGCUGAAAUGGUGGAAUCCGCAACGAGCGCAGAAGACGUCGAGAAACUGCGAGAGCUCGGAACGGUAGGUAGAGAGAAAGACAAUGGCGUUUCUGGUAGCGUAGAAAAGGGAACAAUAGCGGAGGCAAAAUUUGACGACAGCCGGAUCCCAAAUGACGCGAAAGUAACGCAAUCGCGGAGCGACGAAAUAAAGGAAGCCGAAGCGUCGAAAGUAAGUUUGCCGCGUUCCCCGGAAAUUGUCGGCCAGGAUGUUAACGAAGAAAGAGCGUCGAACGUUCGGCAAACUGGUACAAAAGUAUCGUUGACGAAGAACGAUUCAUCCGACGAUCAUUCGAGAGGUUCCGAGAUUCGUGCGCAGAACGAUCGAUCAUUCUCGUCAAAGGAAGCGGGCAGCUCUUCCGUGAACGACAUCAAAGAUUCGCGCGCUAACAAUGCAUCUUUCACGACCGAUAACGCGAUGAGACACAACGAGACCAUUGCUGCACAAUCAUUAUCGAACGAAACGUCAUCCUGCGUCGGUGAAUCAUCAUCAUCUAACAUGCGAACGCGUUGCGUCGCGGCGACCGACGCCGAGCGUGUGAAAUUAAUCGAUGCCAGCUUGGUUGCUGAUAACGACCGCUACGUACUUGUUUCACAGCACAAAUUGCUUGACAGUAAUACCACUAAUUUGUCCGCAACGGUUACCGAGCCUUGUAAUACGAACGACAAUUCCCCGCUUCCCGUUUCUGUCGAUGAAAAAGUGUCUAACGUCGAAAAGAAUCUUCGAGAUUCUCAACAGGGUUCUCGCGAACUUUCGAUCGAUUCUAAAGUCAUAGAAUGCGAUUUUGAAUCUGACGAUACUUUAAGAGAUUCUAAAAGGGUCGAAGAGACUUCGAACAAUGGAGAAGCAGUUAUGAACGAAGGUUUGAGAGAUCUUGAAAAGCUUCACAACGUUUCUGUAGACUUUGAAAUUUCGGAGGACAAAGCAGUUGCUCAAGAAACUUCUAAUGAUUCUGGAAUCGUUGACCUCGAGGUAAAAGAUUCCAAAAUCCCUGUUUCCAAAAAACCUGAGAACGUCUCUCGCGAAAUUUUCGACAAUUCUGGAGUUGCCGAAGAAACUUCAGAUUCUGAAAACCUUGUUCCCGGAAUGAACAAAGAUUUCAGAAUCCAUGAAGUUCCCAAAACCCUCGAGGACGAUUCUCACGAAAUUUCGGACGAAUCUGAAGUCUUUGAAGAUUGCAGUACUCUCGUGGAAGAUUCUAAAGCGACCGAUUUAACGACCGUUUCCUCCGAAGUUUCGAAGAAUCCUGAAAAUAUUCCGUUAGAGAGUAAAAUCCUCGAAGUGACAGUAGAUUCCAAAAACAAUGACGAACUUUCUGCAGAUCCAAGAAUAACUGAAACCUCAAAGGAUUCUAAAAGUGUCCCACGCGAAGUUCCCAAAAAACCCAGCAAAAAUGACGUGUUCCAAGAGUCGAAAAUAUCCGAAGUUCCCAGCAGACCCAAACUAAUUGUCCAAGAAAUGAAAACUCCGUUGCACGUAUCCGAAAAAGUAGAGCAGCCCAUCUCCGUCGCAUGCCACAUUCCCAACGAUAAAAUCGAUACUCGUCCAAUAAGUUGUGGAAGUAAGUCCCUCGAUUCUGAAACGAACCUUCGGCAAAUUAAUGUUCAGUCGAAAGCAGAAGUAAAUGAUCAAUCAACAUCAACAUCCGCGGAGAAAAUCGACAAGCUGACAAAAAACGGAACCAAUAACGAUGUCUCGACGAUCGCGAAGCAGAAUUCGAGGGAAAUAAUUGAAACGAACGAUUCAAAGGUAGAAAAAUUCCUUGGGAACGAUCAGAAGAUUCUAUCCGCAAUUCCAUCCUCGAUAUCGAACGACCUCGACGUAAACGAGGCUUCGAAAGCCCUCGCGAAUACUGGAUCGACAAUUUUAACUAUUUCGAGUGGCUCUCGUAUUACCGAUCCCUCGUCAAACUCGCAUACUUUGGCCACCGAAUUUCCCUUUAACAAGCCGAAUUCUGCGAGCACUGACAAAAUUCUAGAAACUCUCGAUAACGUUACCGAUGUGCUUAACGAAUCGAAAACCGACAUUAAUUCCGACACUAUUAAUAGCGUUCAGAAUAAUUAUGAUAAGACACGCGAUAACGUUGAACCUUCCUGUAACGGUAUUGCAAAAGAUUCUAGUAACAAUACGUCCCAUGUGUUACCCCUUUCUGGCGAAAAUGGAGAAGUGACUGAACUAGCUCGUUCUGAUAAUUUCAAUUUAAAUGUAGUAGAAAAUCCUCCUGAAUCGGUUUCAGUUGUGCAAGAAAUUAAGUGUCCUCUCGUAAAAACUGUUAGUGCGACUCUCCCUGUAAUACCUGCGAUUACAGAACUCGCAGUAGAAGAAACUGUUAUUCCUAUCGCGAAUUCAAUUGAUGUCCAAGAAAUUAAACCUGUCAUGAAAAAUGUUAAUGAAUUACCAGUACCUGAAAUUACAGAGAUUGAAGUAACAAAACCUGAUACCCCUAUAGUGAAUUCGAUUAAUACCCAAGAAACCCAACAUUCUAUCGUGGAAAAUAUUAAUGGAUUCUGUCCAGAGGUACCUGAAGUAGAGAAUAAAGUAACUGAUACCCUAUCUGUGAAUUCGGUUAAUACCCAAGAAAUUAAACAUCCUGUGGAAACUGUCGACGAAACACCUUCGAUACCUGUAGAACUCAAAACGAAAGAAUCUGUUAGUUCUAUGGAGAACGUGAGUCUGACCGAUUUUCGAGAAGUUAAAUACUCCAUCAUGGAAAAUGUUAGCGAAGUAUCUCCGGGAGUGGCCGAGAUCAUAGAGAUCAAAAUAACGGAGUCUCCGAUGAUAGCAGUGAACGACUGCGCUCCAAUUAACCUGCUAGAGUGUGCGGAAAAUAAAACCGAUGAGGAAUCGAUGAAAUCGCGACUAGAGAGUGUAAUGGCGGAAGCUAUUACGAUUUCGAGAGAAAGCGCGGUUAACGUCCAAAAUAAUAACGAAGCUGAUGCAAAUGAAAUUGGCAAGAAGGUACCGCCGAAGGAGAGAUCCAAAUCGCCGGCGAAGAAGGUCGGCAGAAGGAGGUCUCCCGUGAAAGUGGUCAAAAAACCGACCGGUAUACCUCGACGAAAUUUCGGAAAGAUUAGCCCGAAAGGUAGAAUGGUCGCCAAAGUAAAAGAGGUUACGGAGCCGACUCGCAGAUCGACCGUAUCCAGGAGAAGUCCGAGGGAGAACCUGGCAAAGAGUUCGAAAGUCCAGGUCGGAAACGUCUCUUCGAAUAUCACGGCGAGCAAAACGAAACCAUCGUCCACUAAUCAAAAGCAAAUUUCAAAGGCCUGCAACUCGAGGCCCCCUGAAAAGAGAUCGACUAUCCUGAGAACGCUGUCGAAGGGCUGCGAGCAAAUUAGAAAAUCGAUCAUGCAGUCUGCCGACAAAAAGACAGAGCAGGUUUCGAGGACGAAAGAAAAACCGAAAUCGUUCCUGUCGAGAAUCCCCGUGUUCACCGCGAGGUUUCAGCAACAGUCUCGUAAAAGUUCGCAGCCAAUUUCUAAGAGAGCUAACGAUUUGAACGACGCAAAGAAAAUGAACGGUCAGCAAGCUGCCAGAAAAAUUGGUACGCAGAGUGUUCCGAAGAUUGGAACCGGACGAGAAGCUCCGAAGAAAGUAGACGGUUCCAGGCACGGGAAUGUAGACGUAAAAAAUGCAACUGUCCAGAUUUCCGCGGGUAAGAAAACCGGAAACGAGAAGAAACCUCAGGCGAAGAAUGCUGAACCAAAUGUAAUCGUAGCUGGCAAAGAUUCAGCGAUAUCCAGUGACUUGGACUCGGAGAGCGACUCUAGCAAAGAAUACUCGUCGGGAGAGGACUCCGAUGUGGACAGCGUAUCGGAUUUUGAAAGCAUCGUGGAGUCCGAUAUAUCCAGCACGGAUAAACAAUUUUCCGACGACGCUUUGGGCAGCAUGGAGGAAUUAACCGACGCCGAGAUCCUCCUGCAGGAAACCAUCAACGCGAUAAAGGCGAAGAUAUCGGACUCCGAGUUCGAGGGAUCCGAGAGCGAGUCUCUCAGCGAUAUGGAAAGCCAGGAUGCCUCUAAUUCCAGCGAAACUUACGCGGACGUGAAAGACUCCUCGCUGGAUGAGGAAGAACAAUUAGAGGAGAAUGAUGAGCAGAGUUUUAACGACGAAACAUCCGACGAAGAUGAAACUUUGAAAGCGGACGAACAAAAGACUUACAAGUUAAACAAAGUUACUUCCAAGAAGACUCCUUCGGCGAAGUCCAAAGAUCAAUUAAUAUCGAAAACGGAUACGAAUGACACGGUCAAGAAGUCCGUCGAAACGAGUAAAUCGAGAAGUAACGAUAUCGGGGAGAAGAAGAGAAUCGAUGCGAAGGGUGAGGUAAAAAUGGCGAAGCGGGCGAGCGAAAAACGAACGAAAAAUCGCAGAGCGAGUACGGGCUGCGACAGGGGGUCGGAUCAGGGAGAAACGUCGAAGAAACGAUUCUCCCUGGUAGCCAGUUGUAUCCAUCGGUUCGAGGGUGAAGAGAAAACGGAAAGGGAGUACGUGGAUAGUAGAAGCGGCAACUCGAAGACGGGGGUAUCUCCCAAAACGGAACGGGAGGUCAGUAGACGUCAGUUGUCAGAAAAUCACUUGUCGACUAUGUCGAUCCCUUGCCGCUGACAGACCAAUGUCUACAAACAGCUCGAAACGUAUCGAGACACGGAAAGAAAAACAGAUUAGAAACGGCUGACACCCUUUAUAACCCUGUUUUGACAGUAGUUUUAAGCUCACCUUUUUUUUUCUUUUCCGAGUAGAAUGAGAUUGCCUAUACCUCGAGAGAAUAGCGCGUCGCUUGUUAGCCGAGGGUAAAGCAUCAAAUUACGAUGAAGCGGAAGUGGCUGCUAGUUUACUUGCGCUGAAAUU